UACGGGGGGGGCAAGCGUUGUUCGGAAUUACUGGGCGUAAAGGGCGCGUAGGCGGCCUGCUAAGUCGGACGUGAAAUCCCUCGGCUCAACCGGGGAACUGCGUCCGAUACUGGUGGGCUCGAAUCCGGGAGAGGGAUGUGGAAUUCCGAGUGUAGAGGUGAAAUUCGUAGAUAUUCGGAAGAACACCAGUGGCGAAGGCGGCUCACUGGCCCGGUACUGACGCUGAGGUGCGAAAGCGUGGGGAGCAAACAGG
rnacentral:rRNA from 1 species